GACGAACGCUGGCGGCGUGCUUAACACAUGCAAGUCGAACGGAGUGGCGAACGGGUGAGUAACACGUGGGUGAUCUGCCUUGCACUUCGGGAUAAGCUUGGGAAACUGGGUCUAAUACCGGAUAGUGCAAGAUGAGCUCGCGGCCUAUCAGCUUGUUGGUGGGGUACUGGCCUACCAAGGCGUCGACGGGUAGCCGGCCUGGGAGGGUGUACGGCCACAUUGGGACUGAGGUACGGCCCAGACUCCGACGGGAGGCAGCAGUGGGGAAGAUUGCAGAAGGGGCGGAAGCCUGAGGCAGCGACGCCGGGGGGGGGAUGAAGGGCUUCGGGUUGUAAACUCCUUGCGACAGGGACGCGGUACCUGGAUAAGAAGCACCGGCUAACUACGUGCCAGCAGCCGCGGGAAUUC
rnacentral:rRNA from 1 species